GGCUGGUUAGCUCAGUGGUUUCAGCACGGUGCUGACACCAAUGACAACACUGAGGUCGCAGGUUCGAUUCCUGCUCGGUCC
rnacentral:tRNA from 1 species